AGUUGCUGUAUAAAAUUAAAAAAGCCGUAUACUUUUCAAUUCUCAUUGAUGGGGCAACAGACAGCACUACAAUAGAGAAUGAACUCAUUUAUGUUAGCUUUCUAGCAACUGAUGGGCCAGUCAAUACCUACUUGUCUAUCCAAGACGUUAAACAUGGCAAUGCAAAUGGCAUCCUGGAUGCCAUCCAUGCAGCUUUUGAGGGAGCUGGCAUUAUUGAUUGGAAGGAGAAAUUGGUUGAGUUUGGCAGCGAUGGGGCAGCUGUGAAUGUGGGCUGCAGAAAUGGCGUUGCAGCGCUUCUGCAGAAGGAACUCAACCACCCCCUCAUCUCAAUCCACUGUGUUGCCCACAGAUUAGAGCUUGGCAUCGUAAAGGCAAUUAAAACCCACAAAAAGAUGGAGCAAAUGCAGACAAUGCUUAAAAACCUGUACGAUCAGUACCACUACUCCCCCAAGGCUGUCAGAGAGCUCAGAAUGAUUGCAGAGGCACUUGAAGAAAAGUUGUUGAAGCCAUCAAAUCCACACGGCGCCCGCUGGCUUCCCUAUGUGCCUCGUGCAAUCAAGAUUGGGUGUGACAGCUAUCCUGUACUGAUUGCACAUUUUGAAGAGAUGGCGCCUGUGGAGAGGUUCCCUAAGCCUUCAGCUGCAGUUCUCGGCAGGGCCAAACGGGUCCUUUCCUUCCGGAAAAGAUGCGAUAAUUUGCUCUUCCUCCACUUCAAGUGUGAUGUUUUUAACCACCUUGCCACCUUGAGCAAAAUGUUCCAAAAAGAUGACCUGACUGUGCGUCAAGCAGUUGAGAGCCAGGAGGCCCGUUUCAGGGAACUCACUUCCUUGAGGGUAGACAUUGGUCCCCAAAUGGCCAAGGACAACCAGGCCAUAAAGGAGACUGGCGUGUAUAAAGGAGUGAGGUUCCAGAAUCCAACCCACAACACGCUUGAAGCAGAGAGGAUCGAGGUGAUUCGUAAGAAAAAAUUAUGUGUGUGUGAUUUGGAUUGAUUGAUUAACCUUUACAGUAAAUAAGUAAUGAUUCACUUUAACAUUUCCUGUUAACAGAUUUGAUCAUCAGUCAUUUGGAAGAGAGGCUGAAGGAUCUGCAGCAAGGGGGCAUGGUUGCAAAGUUUAGGGCCUUUGACCCAUCGUCCUGGCCAGCAUGCAACCGUGCUGACCCAGUUGAAAGUGAGAGGUUCAGGCAGUGUAGUGUCGAAGAGAUGAGGGAGAUGGCAACGUUCUUUCAGGAGCUAUUGAGACAAGCUGGCAUUGAAGUCGAUGAGGUUUUAGCAGAGUACAACCACUACAAGAUCUUUGCCAAGGGACGAGCAGCAGUGCCGAUGAGGGAGCUCUUCAUGAGUGUCUUGCAGUCAGAGGAAAGGCGAGAACGUUUCAAGAGCUUGGCCCCCCUCAUGGAGGCGUACCUGAUCCUGCCAGUAAACACGGCAGUGUGUGAGCGGGGCUUUUCGACAAUGAAGGUCAAGUCUUUCCUCUCUUCAGCUGCAGAGACUGAUGUUCCUGUCAGUGGAGGGCCCCCCACUGGAUAAGUUUGAAGCUGAAGCUGCAGUUCA